AUUGAACGCUGGCGGCAGGCCUAACACAUGCAAGUCGAGCGGAUGAAGGGAGCUUGCUCCUGGAUUCAGCGGCGGACGGGUGAGUAAUGCCUAGGAAUCUGCCUGGUAGUGGGGGAUAACGUCCGGAAACGGGCGCUAAUACCGCAUACGUCCUGAGGGAGAAAGUGGGGGAUCUUCGGACCUCACGCUAUCAGAUGAGCCUAGGUCGGAUUAGCUAGUUGGUGGGGUAAAGGCCUACCAAGGCGACGAUCCGUAACUGGUCUGAGAGGAUGAUCAGUCACACUGGAACUGAGACACGGUCCAGACUCCUACGGGAGGCAGCAGUGGGGAAUAUUGGACAAUGGGCGAAAGCCUGAUCCAGCCAUGCCGCGUGUGUGAAGAAGGUCUUCGGAUUGUAAAGCACUUUAAGUUGGGAGGAAGGGCAGUAAGUUAAUACCUUGCUGUUUUGACGUUACCAACAGAAUAAGCACCGGCUAACUUCGUGCCAGCAGCCGCGGUAAUACGAAGGGUGCAAGCGUUAAUCGGAAUUACUGGGCGUAAAGCGCGCGUAGGUGGUUCAGCAAGUUGGAUGUGAAAUCCCCGGGCUCAACCUGGGAACUGCAUCCAAAACUACUGAGCUAGAGUACGGUAGAGGGUGGUGGAAUUUCCUGUGUAGCGGUGAAAUGCGUAGAUAUAGGAAGGAACACCAGUGGCGAAGGCGACCACCUGGACUGAUACUGACACUGAGGUGCGAAAGCGUGGGGAGCAAACAGGAUUAGAUACCCUGGUAGUCCACGCCGUAAACGAUGUCGACUAGCCGUUGGGAUCCUUGAGAUCUUAGUGGUGCAGCUAACGCGAUAAGUCGACCGCCUGGGGAGUACGGCCGCAAGGUUA
rnacentral:rRNA from 1 species